rnacentral:rRNA from 1 species
GUGAGGAAUAUUGCACAAUGGAGGCAACUCUGACGCAGCCAUGCCGCGUGCAGGAAGAAGGCGCUACGCGUUGUAAACUGCUUUUAACCGGGAAGAAACCCCAGGACGUGUCCUGGGUUGACGGUACCGGAGGAAUAAGCACCGGCUAACUUCGUGCCAGCAGCCGCGGUAAUACGAAGGGUGCAAGCGUUAUCCGGAUUCAUUGGGUUUAAAGGGUGCGUAGGCGGAGCGUUAAGUCAGUGGUGAAAUCCUGCAGCUUAACUGUAGACUUGCCAUUGAUACUGGCGCUCUUGAGUGCGCUUGAAGUGGGCGGAAUGUGCCGUGUAGCGGUGAAAUGCUUAGAUAUGGCACAGAACACCAAUUGCGAAGGCAGCUCACUAAGGCGAUACUGACGCUGAGGCACGAAAGCGUGGGGAUCGAACAGGAUUAGAAACCCGAGUAGUCC